rnacentral:tRNA from 1 species
CGACGCCAUGGCACGGGUGUACCGCGCGCUCGAGCUGCUCGUCCAGUUGCGCCUCUGGCUGGGGCACCGGAUCGAUACCGCUGACGUCGA